UCAUGCAUCAGGCCUCUAGUACACUAAAAUUGGAAUUAUAAGAGGAGAUCAGCAUGGCCCCUGUGCAAGGAUGACACGCAAAUUCAUGAACCAUUCCAUAUAUUU